rnacentral:rRNA from 1 species
UAGGGAAUCUUCCGCAAUGGACGCAAGUCUGACGGAGCAACGCCGCGUGAGUGAUGAAGGUUUUCGGAUCGUAAAGCUCUGUUGCCCUAGACGAACAGCAAGGAGAGUAACUGCUCUUUGUGUGACGGUAUAGGAGAAGAAAGCCCCGCCUAACUACGUGC